UACGUAGGGUGCGAGCGUUAAUCGGAAUUACUGGGCGUAAAGCGUGCGCAGGCGGGCUUUUAAGCCAGACGUGAAAUCCCCGGGCUUAACCUGGGAAUGGCGUUUGGGACUGGGAGUCUGGAGUGCGGCAGAGGAGACUGGAAUUCCUGGUGUAGCAGUGAAAUGCGUAGAUAUCAGGAGGAACACCGGUGGCGAAGGCGGGUCUCUGGGCCGUAACUGACGCUGAGGAGCGAAAGCGUGGGGAGCGAACAGG
rnacentral:rRNA from 1 species